GCUCUCGUCGUUCAACGGAUAGGAUAGCCCCCUCCGAAGGGGCUGAUGACGGUUCGAUUCCGUCCGAGAGCA
rnacentral:tRNA from 1 species